rnacentral:rRNA from 1 species
AUUGAACGCUGGCGGCAGGCCUAACACAUGCAAGUCGAGCGGAUGAAGGGAGCUUGCUCCUGGAUUCAGCGGCGGACGGGUGAGUAAUGCCUAGGAAUCUGCCAGGUAGCGGGGUAUAACGUCCUGAAACGGGCGCUAAUACCGCAUACGUCCUGAGGGAGAAAGUGGGGGAUCUUCGGACCUCACGCUCUCAGAUGAGCCUAGGUCGGAUUAGCUAGUUGGUGGGGUAAAGGCCUACCAAGGCGACGAUCCGUAACUGGUCUGAGAGGAUGAUCAGUCACACUGGAACUGAGACACGGUCCAGACUCCUACGGGAGGCAGCAGUGGGGAAUAUUGGACAAUGGGCGAAAGCCUGAUCCAGCCAUGCCGCGUGUGUGAAGAAGGUCUUCGGAUUGUAAAGCACUUUAAGUUGGGAGGAAGGGCAGUAAGUUAAUACCUUGCUGUUUUGACGUUACCAACAGAAUAAGCACCGGCUAACUUCGUG